rnacentral:rRNA from 1 species
ACUAAGCGUACACGGUGGAUGCCCUGGCAGUCAGAGGCGAUGAAGGACGUGCUAAUCUGCGAUAAGCGUCGGUGAGGUGAUAUGAACCGUUAUAACCGGCGAUUUCCGAAUGGGGAAACCCAGUGUGUUUCGACACACUAUCAUUAACUGAAUCCAUAGGUUAAUGAGGCGAACCGGGGGAACUGAAACAUCUAAGUACCCCGAGGAAAAGAAAUCAACCGAGAUUCCCCCAGUAGCGGCGAGCGAACGGGGAGGAGCCCAGAGCCUGAAUCAGUGUGUGUGUUAGUGGAAGCGUCUGGAAAGGCGCGCGAUACAGGGUGACAGCCCCGUACACAAAAAUGCACAUAUUGUGAGCUCGAUGAGUAGGGCGGGACACGUGGUAUCCUGUCUGAAUAUGGGGGGACCAUCCUCCAAGGCUAAAUACUCCUGACUGACCGAUAGUGAACCAGUACCGUGAGGGAAAGGCGAAAAGAACCCCGGCGAGGGGAGUGAAAAAGAACCUGAAACCGUGUACGUACAAGCAGUGGGAGCCUCUUUAUGGGGUGACUGCGUACCUUUUGUAUAAUGGGUCAGCGACUUAUAUUCUGUAGCAAGGUUAACCGAAUAGGGGAGCCGAAGGGAAACCGAGUCUUAACUGGGCGUUAAGUUGCAGGGUAUAGACCCGAAACCCGGUGAUCUAGCCAUGGGCAGGUUGAAGGUUGGGUAACACUAACUGGAGGACCGAACCGACUAAUGUUGAAAAAUUAGCGGAUGACUUGUGGCUGGGGGUGAAAGGCCAAUCAAACCGGGAGAUAGCUGGUUCUCCCCGAAAGCUAUUUAGGUAGCGCCUCGUGAAUUCAUCUCCGGGGGUAGAGCACUGUUUCGGCAAGGGGGUCAUCCCGACUUACCAACCCGAUGCAAACUGCGAAUACCGGAGAAUGUUAUCACGGGAGACACACGGCGGGUGCUAACGUCCGUCGUGAAGAGGGAAACAACCCAGACCGCCAGCUAAGGUCCCAAAGUCAUGGUUAAGUGGGAAACGAUGUGGGAAGGCCCAGACAGCCAGGAUGUUGGCUUAGAAGCAGCCAUCAUUUAAAGAAAGCGUAAUAGCUCACUGGUCGAGUCGGCCUGCGCGGAAGAUGUAACGGGGCUAAACCAUGCACCGAAGCUGCGGCAGCGACACUAUGUGUUGUUGGGUAGGGGAGCGUUCUGUAAGCCUGUGAAGGUGGCCUGUGAGGGUUGCUGGAGGUAUCAGAAGUGCGAAUGCUGACAUAAGUAACGAUAAAGCGGGUGAAAAGCCCGCUCGCCGGAAGACCAAGGGUUCCUGUCCAACGUUAAUCGGGGCAGGGUGAGUCGACCCCUAAGGCGAGGCCGAAAGGCGUAGUCGAUGGGAAACAGGUUAAUAUUCCUGUACUUGGUGUUACUGCGAAGGGGGGACGGAGAAGGCUAUGUUGGCCGGGCGACGGUUGUCCCGGUUUAAGCGUGUAGGCUGGUUUUCCAGGCAAAUCCGGAAAACCAAGGCUGAGGCGUGAUGACGAGGCACUACGGUGCUGAAGCGACAAAUGCCCUGCUUCCAGGAAAAGCCUCUAAGCAUCAGGUAACAUCAAAUCGUACCCCAAACCGACACAGGUGGUCAGGUAGAGAAUACCAAGGCGCUUGAGAGAACUCGGGUGAAGGAACUAGGCAAAAUGGUGCCGUAACUUCGGGAGAAGGCACGCUGAUAUGUAGGUGAAGCGACUUGCUCGUGGAGCUGAAAUCAGUCGAAGAUACCAGCUGGCUGCAACUGUUUAUUAAAAACACAGCACUGUGCAAACACGAAAGUGGACGUAUACGGUGUGACGCCUGCCCGGUGCCGGAAGGUUAAUUGAUGGGGUUAGCGGUAACGCGAAGCUCUUGAUCGAAGCCCCGGUAAACGGCGGCCGUAACUAUAACGGUCCUAAGGUAGCGAAAUUCCUUGUCGGGUAAGUUCCGACCUGCACGAAUGGCGUAAUGAUGGCCAGGCUGUCUCCACCCGAGACUCAGUGAAAUUGAACUCGCUGUGAAGAUGCAGUGUACCCGCGGCAAGACGGAAAGACCCCGUGAACCUUUACUAUAGCUUGACACUGAACAUUGAGCCUUGAUGUGUAGGAUAGGUGGGAGGCUUUGAAGUGUGGACGCCAGUCUGCAUGGAGCCGACCUUGAAAUACCACCCUUUAAUGUUUGAUGUUCUAACGUUGGCCCGUAAUCCGGGUUGCGGACAGUGUCUGGUGGGUAGUUUGACUGGGGCGGUCUCCUCCUAAAGAGUAACGGAGGAGCACGAAGGUUGGCUAAUCUUGGUCGGACAUCAGGAGGUUAGUGCAAUGGCAUAAGCCAGCUUGACUGCGAGCGUGACGGCGCGAGCAGGUGCGAAAGCAGGUCAUAGUGAUCCGGUGGUUCUGAAUGGAAGGGCCAUCGCUCAACGGAUAAAAGGUACUCCGGGGAUAACAGGCUGAUACCGCCCAAGAGUUCAUAUCGACGGCGGUGUUUGGCACCUCGAUGUCGGCUCAUCACAUCCUGGGGCUGAAGUAGGUCCCAAGGGUAUGGCUGUUCGCCAUUUAAAGUGGUACGCGAGCUGGGUUUAGAACGUCGUGAGACAGUUCGGUCCCUAUCUGCCGUGGGCGCUGGAGAACUGAGGGGGGCUGCUCCUAGUACGAGAGGACCGGAGUGGACGCAUCACUGGUGUUCGGGUUGUCAUGCCAAUGGCACUGCCCGGUAGCUAAAUGCGGAAGAGAUAAGUGCUGAAAGCAUCUAAGCACGAAACUUGCCCCGAGAUGAGUUCUCCCUGAGACUUAGAGUCUCCUGAAGGAACGUUGAAGACGACGACGUUGAUAGGCCGGGUGUGUAAGCGCAGCGAUGCGUUGAGCUAACCGGUACUAAUGAACCGUGAGGCUUAACC